UCUCAUUUUGCUCCAUAGACAGCGAGUGUGCUCAGCUUCAGAAAAUGAAUCAUUAUGGCUCUAAAUUCAUCAUGAUAUCCCACUUCUCCUUUGCCAGUGAUAGGGCUAGGCAGAUUUGAUGAAGGACUGUAUUUGGAGCUAUGGAAAGGAAAACCGAGAGGCAGAGAAGCAGCCCCUAGACUGUUAGCCAAUCCGGGUUGGAGCAGCCGCCCACAGACGUCAUCUUUUGUUUCCUUCAUAUCUUUACACCUUGUGUCCCUGAAAAUGUGGGAAUAUGGCCAGACCUCAUCGUGGGGACUGCUAAGUCAGUUUCACAGAUGACAACAAUGUGGAGAGUUACAGAAUCAACUGAUUUAUCAGGUUUUCUGUUUUCAUAUCUUUUCCUGAGAGUACAAUUAAGGCAUUUAUA
rnacentral:lncRNA from 1 species